UCGCGUCCAGCGGUGCUGGCUUCGUGCUCUGUCUGGCGUAUCGUGUCGUCGCCCGGUCCUCCGACCCAGCGACGCGCGAUUCGUCGGGCAUCGCCGACGCCAAGCGUACGUGAAGGCGUGUGAGUGGUAAUUGGUUCAUGUGGGCAUGCAGGCUCCCUGCUCGCGCAGCGAACUGUGUGCCUCUGAUCCUCCUCACUGUUGUCGCCCCGAGCGCGCUCGCGCCUCGGGGCGUCGAAAGGGUUCCUGUGUUGCUUACCGAAUGCGACGGAAUUUUGCCGCUAGAGUUGCCCCGUCCGCCCGUCGCACCUCCGGUGCGAGGCGGCUCCGAAGCGCGCCCCCAUCGUCCCCCCGUAGCUUGCUUCGGCACACGCUCUCGGCUCGGGCAUGGGGGCGUCGCCUAGUGCUCUCGGAUACGGAACAUCACGUGGGCGUUGGGCUCGGUCCCUGUCACGCUCGAAACAACGUAUCGACACGCACGACGGCCGCCGUCGUUUUGGCUUCCCGACGAGAGUCGGCGAACGUCCGCGCGACGUCGGCGUCGGUGAGGAAUGC
rnacentral:misc_RNA from 1 species